rnacentral:rRNA from 1 species
UACGUAGGGUGCAAGCGUUGUCCGGAAUCAUUGGGCGUAAAGAGCGUGUAGGCGGCCCGGUAAGUCCGCUGUGAAAGUCGGGGGCUCAACCCUCGGAUGCCGGUGGAUACUGUCGGGCUCGAGUACGGAAGAGGCGAGUGGAAUUCCUGGUGUAGCGGUGAAAUGCGCAGAUAUCAGGAGGAACACCUAUUGCGAAGGCAGCUCGCUGGGACGUUACUGACGCUGAGACGCGAAAGCGUGGGGAGCAAACAGG